GGCUCUACCAACCUAUUAAUUUAAUUCGAUCGGUCCCGAAAAUCAUUUAUUAAUUAUAAUUUUAGAUCUAACGAGUUCUGUCCAAUCGGAUUUGGAUUCUAAACCGUAGCAGAGCUAGGUUGGAUUUCGUCAAGCCUUUAAAUCGGAACUUAAAAAAGAAAACGAUAUAGCGCACCUGAGUACAGUUUCUCACUAGUCACCACCAUGCUAACACCUCAACCUACUGCACUUCUCCCUGAAACGCCAAUGCUUCAAUCCACUGCUGAUCUCCCUGCUUACUUGCAAGAAAAGGAGCUUUUCCAAGAGUUCAGGGACUUGAUAGUGUCACUACCAGCCGAAAAAGGCUGGGUUGCAAAUUAUCUCCAUCAAUAUCAGGGUUUCUGGCACACUACUAGGCAACUCCAAGGGGUAUUAGCUUGCCAAAAACAUUUCCAAGCUCAUCAUACUGAUAUCCUCCUCGUCACCACUCCUAAAUCAGGCACCACUUGGUUGAAGGCGAUAAUGUUUGCCUUGAUGAAUCGGGCUCGCUUUCCUGACCCUAAACAACACCCUUUGCUCGCCAACAAUCCUCAUGUGCUUGUGCCUUUCCUGGAACUGGAAUACAUUGAUACACAGUUCCCUGACUUCACCAGCUUCAUCUCUCCAAGGCUGUUUUCAACCCAUUUGCCAUUUGUGUCGCUUCCAAAAUCUGUGGAGGAUUCAGGUUGCAAGUUUGUUUACUUGUGCAGGAACCCUAAGGAUACUUUUGUGUCCCUUUGGCACUUCACUAACAAGCUGAGAAAACCUAAAGAAAAGGUUGAAAAUUCGCUUGAAGAGGCCUUUGACAAAUUCUGUAGGGGUGUGAGCUUGUGUGGGCCAUUCUGGGAUCAUGUUUUGGGAUAUUGGAAGCAGAGCUUGGAAGACCCUGAAAGGGUAUUGUUCUUGAAAUACGAGGACUUGAAGAAAGAACCCAAAGCGCUGCUGAGGAGACUAUCUGAGUUCUUGGGAUGUCCAUUUUCUCAAGAAGAAGAAAACUAUGGUGUGACGGAUGAAAUCUUGAACUUGUGUAGUUUUGACAAGUUGAGCAAUCUGGAGGUGAAUAAGACCGGAAAAUUACCCUCCGGAGAGGAGAACUGCACCUUCUUUCGGCGAGGUGAGGUAGGAGAUUCCAUGAAUUAUCUGACGGCUGAUAUGUUAGAAAAAAUGGACCGCAUCACAGAACAAAAGCUGAAGAGUUGUGGUUUAAGUUUGCUGUAAGUAUCUUUAAUCUUAAUGAUGUCUGAGUGGCUGUACUAAAUCAUGGUUGGUAUGUCUGCUGCCUUAUCGUCAAUUAUUAUUAAGGUAAGAUCUUUGUUAUGUACGAUAAUGUCUUAUUGGAAGGCAUAUAUUAUAUUAUAUUGUAAUAAGAUUCUGCUUUUUAUGAUUAAAUCAUCAUUAAUUUUUCAG
rnacentral:misc_RNA from 1 species